GUCCAAAAUGACUGUCGGCAACGGAUAUCUCGGCUCUUGCAUCGAUGAAGAACGUAGCGAAAUGCGAUACUUGGUGUGAAUUGCAGAAUCCCGUGAACCAUCGAGUCUUUGAACGCAAGUUGCGCCCGAAGCCAUUAGGCCGAGGGCACGCCUGCCUGGGUGUCACCAA
rnacentral:rRNA from 1 species